GGUGACGUGUCCGAGCGGCCGAAGGAGCUCGCCUCGAAAGCGAGUAAUGGUUGACGCCAUUCGUGGGUUCAAAUCCCACCGUCACCGCCA
rnacentral:tRNA from 4 species